AGUGAACGCUGGCGGUAGGCCUAACACAUGCAAGUCGAACGGCAGCACAGUAAGAGCUUGCUCUUACGGGUGGCGAGUGGCGGACGGGUGAGGAAUACAUCGGAAUCUACUUUUUCGUGGGGGAUAACGUAGGGAAACUUACGCUAAUACCGCAUACGACCUACGGGUGAAAGCAGGGGAUCUUCGGACCUUGCGCGAUUGAAUGAGCCGAUGUCGGAUUAGCUAGUUGGCGGGGUAAAGGCCCACCAAGGCGACGAUCCGUAGCUGGUCUGAGAGGAUGAUCAGCCACACUGGGACUGAGACACGGUCCAGACUCCUACGGGAGGCAGCAGUGGGGAAUAUUGGACAAUGGGCGCAAGCCUGAUACAGCCAUACCGCGUGGGUGAAGAAGGCCUUCGGGUUGUAAAGCCCUUUUGUUGGGAAAGAAAAGCAGCAGGUUAAUACCCCGCUGUUCUGACGGUACCCAAAGAAUAAGCACCGGCUAACUUCGUG
rnacentral:rRNA from 1 species